UCCCAAAUCACCUCUAUCUCUAUUCUCGUUCUCAACUCUGAACUUGCCCUCUCUGUGUCUCUGCGACUGCAAACUACAAAAUCAACAAGAAUCAGAUCAGCCUCCCAAAUCGCCUCCAUUCUCAACUCUGAACUUGCCCUCUCCCUGUCUCUGCAACUGCAAACUACAAAAUCUACAAGAAUCUGAUCAGCCUCCCAAAUUGCCUCCAUCUCUAUUCUCGUUCUCAACUCUGAACUUGCCCUCUCUCUGUCUCUGCAACUGCAAACUACAAAAUCUACAAGAAUCAGAACCCAUAUCGGCAUAUCAUUUCAGAUUGUUCAAAAAAUCAAAACCCAUAUCAUUCAGUUUCCAUCGCCCGCUGUUCCAGUUCGGGUUCGUCGUUCGCAAGCUUCAGCCUCUGGCCCGCUGUCUCUCAACUCUCAAGCCUUCUCUCUGCAACUGGUAACUUUACUCACUUUUUGGUUCAGCAUUGACAAUUGGAGGAAUGUUAGGUGCAGCAGUAAGUGGAAAAAUUGCGGAUCUCAUUGGCCCGAGAGGCUAUGUGGUUCUUACAAAUAUUUUUCAUCAUAGGGUGGCUUUCAAUAAUUUUCGCGAAGGUGCAUUUCAUCACUUGGCUUCAUUUCUUCAAACUAUGUGAUAUACCCAAAAGUCUUCCAAAGGGGCUGGGAAAAGACAACAAUGGGAGCGUCGAUUGCAUAACCUAUCAAGUACAUCACAAUUUCUCUAUUUGAUUAUGAUAUAUAUUACUUUGAAGAUUUGAAGGAGGACUAUUGUAGUCAUGCAUUACUACUCAAAUGAUUUCUUUUGGUGACGGUUGUUGGUUUACUUAUCUUCCUACCAUAAGCUUAAGAGAGUGUGCAUUAAGGCGAGGGCUAAGUUUUACAUUUAUAAAAGCCACUACUACCUUCCCUAAAAAUAUAGUUAGGGUGAGUAGGGAUCGUCCCAAGGGAUUGAAGGGUCGGACAAGGUUGUGGAAUUGCUAUUAGGGCUAGUAAGUCGAGUGAUCAAACAAUUGGUUGGUUGGUUGAUAAAGGAGCAACUAAAUUGAACUAAGUGAUGACAAAAGAAUGUAAUUAAGAGUAAAUAAGAGAGAGAAGAGUCUUGGGGUUUAGAGAUUACCACCAAGCAAUGCAUUUUUAUACCAUUGACAAGUGAUUAAUGAGGGCAAAUGGUGUGUUGCAAUAUUGGUGUGUGUGUGUUUGGUUGAUUCAACAAGUAAUGAUGACUAGUUAAGCAUGUAUUGUCUAAACGUCAUGUGAAAGGCACAAUAUAUCUAAGCAAUGAAGUAUAUCUUGUCUAAACAACAUGUGAAAGGCACAAUAGAUCAAAACAAGUCAUUAAUCCUUUCAUUAAGCUCACAAUCCAAAUACAACACAAGGUUAGAGACAUAUGCUACUUGCAUUCAAAAGCUUGGAUCAUUAAACAACAAGCAUGGAUUGUCAUCCCAUUUAUCACUACACUACAACUACACUAUAUCUACACUACUAGCAUGAAAAUAGACUAGGGGAGACGCACAAUCCAUCAAGGAAUAAGUAUGAACCAUCAAGAAAAUCACAAAAGCAUUUCAUUAAGCACUAUAUUUUGACAAUCUCUAAAUCUAUAGCAUCAAUACACAUAGACAUGCAUCAAUAACAUAAAAUCUAGGGACAAGCACAUGAACAUCUAUUCUAACAUACAUAGACAUAUGGAUAGAAUCAAAUGAUCAAUUGAAAGCAUUUAACCACAUAAAUCAUUGAACAAUCAAGAUCUAUAUAUAUUAAAGUGUCAAAACAUUAAUUACAACACUGAUCUCUCAAUAAUACACAAGAUUAAGAUAUAGAAAGCAUGCUUGAGGCUAACUCUAGAUCCAAGAGGAUGUCUAGCCACUCAUGGGUAUGUUGCUCCAACCCUCAAGGGUUAACUCCAUGGAAGAAAUCUGCUCCUUGUUGAUGAAGAACUCCAAUGGUGUCUCAAGCCUCCUCCUCUUUUCUUCUACGCUAAGAAUAGCCUCUAAAAUUGUAUCUACCAAAUGCUAAGUCUCUCUCUAAAAAAGGGCAUCAUAUUCCUUUUAUAGGUAGGUCAAGUGACAUACCAAAUGAGCUAGGGUCGUGCAAAGAAUAUUCUUUAAUGAUUGGAUAGAGGACGGAUUGAACAAGCUGGCUUUUUAACUUUUUCGCACUGGAGGAAGUUCGAUCGAUCGAACCUUGGACUUGGAUCGAUCGAACUGGCUGAGAUCCAUCUAACUGAGGCUGGAUCGAUCCAACUGGUUGAGCUUUUUGGGAAAAGAAAAAUCUGAGAUAUUUUGAGAGAUAUUUUUGGGAAAAGGACAAGAGUGGUUAGUGGGUGGUACAACUGUGGAUAUGAUCAAUCAUUUGGAUAAGGAUAAAAGUGUUUGAUCGAUCGAAGGGUGGUGUUGGAUUGAUCAAACUUUGGACUUUUUGCUUUUGGGUUAAGGUUUGGAUCUAUCUUGAAGUGCUGAGAUCGAUCAGUGUUCGAUCGAUCGAACCUUGGAGUUGGAUCGAUCGAAUUUUGUUGCUUCACACCUUUGGCUUCAUUUGCUUCCUUCUUUCUCUACUUUGCUCUUUUCUUUGUUUAAUCCCAGAAUUGCUUCAAUUAAGCUCUUAUUUGGCUGAGUUAGCUUAUUUUCGGGAUAAGUGCUUGAAAAUGGAAGUAAUACGAAAUCAAUCUAAAACGGUAAAGUAAGAUAGCUAAAGGUACUAGAAUGCCUAAGCUUAUGGGGUUUAAAUACGCACUUUUCAGCGCUCAUCAUAGGUCAAAGCUAGGAUUGCAGUUGCCGUUACUUUUUUUGUUGCUGUUAUAUUUUUUGUAUGGCUCAUGAAGAAGUUGCAUAUAUGUAAUGUAAGAGAGAGACUGAAACGGAGUAAGAAGAUAUAAGAAUUUUUAUUUUAUUUUGGUAUAUGGUAUAAGAAGUAAGAAAUUUGUAUAUGGUUAAUUUUUGUAUAAAACAAUAAUUUGGAAUUUGUUAUAUAUAUAUAUAUAUAUAAUGUUGUUGGUUAGUUAUAAGUUAUUUUGGUUAUGACGCUAUUUUUUAUUUAUUUAGUGUUUGCUUGUGGAGUUUUUGCAAAGCUGGUAGUAGGGAAAAAAAUGGCCUCAUGGGGGCUGUAGUAAUUUUAUUUUUUUAUUUUUUAUUUAUUUUUUAAAAAUUAUAUACCACUUUCUACUAUGGUUCUGAACUGUGGUAGAAAGUUCUUUUUCAACUACGGUUUUGCACCGUGGUAGAAAGAACGACUUCACAAUUGAAAAGGACUAUUUACCACGGUUUUGCAUCGUGGUAGAAAGUCUUAUUUCUACUAUGGUUAGAAACCGUGGUAGAAUGUCUCGACUUUCUACCACGGUUCAAAACUGUUGUAAAAAGCAUUUUUCACCGUGGUAAAAAGUCAUUUUUCUUGUAGUGGCAAUACAACUUCAGUUUCCUUAUUUUGAAUUGUUUCCCAGUUGGUUUAGAAUUGUACCAAAUCCUAUGCACGAUUUUACCUUAUUUUUAGAAGGAUUAGGUCAUUCUAAACUCUAUAUAAACCAUGUCAAUACAUCGGUUUAUUCACGGCUUUUACAUUAUUAUUCAAAUUUUAUUCAAAGCCUUAGGAAGAUUAUUUUUGCAGAAAAUCAGAGUUAAUUUUUCUAAUAUCUUUCUAGAACACAUACACAUAAACACAUAGUUUAGAGUUGUGGUGUUCGAAUAAUGAUCAUGAUCAUAUAGUUGUAUUAACAUCGAUCAGACGAAGCAGAUCUUUUUUUACAUCAUUUAGACAAUUGAAGAACAGAAGUAAACGCAGUCACACUUUGAAAGGGUUGGAGCAUUCGCGAAGUGUUGUCUGAUCUAUUUGCUACUCUUCUACAAAUAUCAAGUAUAAGCCUGAGAUCAAGUUGCUGUUGGAUGAGGAGUCGCAAAGCCAGAAGAUCGUCAGUGGUUGGUGUGGUGUAGAACGAUAAGGUGUGAGCCAGGGUCAAAGUUCGGUAUACUUUGUUUCAAGCAUAGUGGAUUAGUUUACUUUGGACUGCACAAGUUCACGAGGUUUUUCUCAUAACAGUUGAGGCACGUAUCUCGAAAAUAAGCUAACUCAGCCAAAUAAGAGCUUAAUUGAAGCAAUUCUGGGAUUAAUCAAAGAAAGGAGCAAAGUGGAGAAAGAAGGAAGCAAAUGGAGCCAAAGGUGGCAAGCAGCAAAGUUCGAUUGAUCUAAGUUCAAGAUUCGAUCGAUCGAACAAUGAUCGAUCUCAGCACUUCAAGAUAGAUCCAAGCCUUGACCCAAAAGCAUAAAGUUCCAAAAGUUCGAUCGAUCCAACACCAUCCUUCGAUCGAUCGAACACUUUUGUCCUUAUUCAAAUAAUUGAUCCUAUCCACAGCUAUACCACCCACUAACCACUUUUGUCUUUUUCUCAUAAAUAUCCCCCAUAAACAUCUCGGAUUUGUCUUUUUCCAAAAAGCUCAACCAGGCAUAUUUCAACCAUGGAAUUAGCCCUUGAGGGUUGGAGCAUCAUCACCAUGAGUGGCUAGACAUACUCUUGGGGUUAGAGUUAGCCCCAAGCAUGCUUUCUAUAUCUUAAUCUUGUGUAUUAUUGAGGGAUUAGUGUUGUAAUUGAUGUUUUGACACUUUGAUAUAUAUAGAUCUUGUUUAUUCAAUGAUU